CCUCAGGUUGCAGCCACAGUACCGUGUGUAUUUGUUAACCAUCCUAUUUCUCGAUGGAGAUAUUACUCACCUAACAUGAAAUUCACCACUUUACUUUUUUUUUUUUGCACAGCAUGUGGGAUCUUAGUUCCCUGACCAGGGAUGGGACCCAAGGCCCCUGCAGUAUAAGCACAGAGGCUUAACUGGACUGCCAAGGAAGGUCUGAAAUUCACCAUUUUAAACUGUGCAACUCAGAUUUUAAAUGUGUUCAGAAAGUUGUACAACUAUCAUUACUAAUUCCCGAUCAUUGCCAUCACCCCCCAAAGAAGCUUGCUAUUAGUCAGUCCCAUUUUCCCCCUCUUUCCAGGCCUGGCAACAGCUAGUCUACUCUCUCUAUGAAUUUGCCUAUUCUGGACAUUUCACAUUCGGUGGCUUUUUGUGUAUGACUUCUUUCACUUGGCAUAGGUUUUCAAGGCUCAUCCACCUGUAGCACCUAUCAGUACUUCAUUUCUUUUUUGGCUGAGUGAUAUUCCAUUGGAUAUCGUAAAGGUAUUGUAUGGAUACACCGCAUUUUGUCUAUCCUUUCACCAGUUGAUGGACAUUUAGUUUGUUUCCACUUUUUGGCUAUUGUGUAUACUGCUGCUAUGAAUAUGGGUACACAGACAUCUGUUCAACCCUGCUCUCGGUUCUUUUAGGUAUGUACCCCAGAAGUGGAGUUGCUGGAUCAGAUGGAAAUCUAUGUUUAUUUUUUGAGGAACCACCAUCCUGUUUCCACAGAGGCUAUACCAUUUUACCCACCAGCAAUACAGCAAUCUCUCCACAUCCUUGUCAAUACUUGUUGUUGUCUUUUUCAUCAUAACCAUCCUACUGGAAAUAUCUAUUCAGGACUUCCCUGGUGGUGCAGUGGAUAAGAUUCCGCCUGCCAAUGCAGUGGACACCGUUUGACCCCUGAUCCAGAAAGACUCCACAAGCCUCAGGGUGACUAAGCCUGCUUGCUACAACUACUGAGCCUGUGUGCUGCAGCUGCUGAAGCCUGUGCACCCAGAACCUAUGCUCUGCAACAAGAGAAGCCCCCGAAAUGAGAAGUCUGCACAUCGCAACUAGAGAAAGCCUGCACAAAGCAGUGAAGACCCAGCACAGCCAAAGAUAAGCA
ensembl:lncRNA